ACUUGCAGCAAUGCAACCGUUUUCUCAGCUAAAAGGAAAACAUUCAAGCUGCCAUUUCAUUCAAAAGUUUUUAUUAGCAGCAGCAGCACAUUUUAUUCAAGACGUCGUGCUGAAAUCAAAGAUAAAAUACGCUGCCAAGUUCUUGGGCAAAAGAAGCGAAACGAAAGGCGAGAUUUAGUGGGGAAAUUUUGGAAGUAAGCCGGGACUGCGUUUGUGGUGGCUUACAUUAAUCAUGCGAUGGAAAAAUACCCCCGGCGACUUACGAUGGAGUUCCGUUGGACGUCCUUAUUUAGAGCAAACAGAGGCUGUUCGGGAAUCCCGUGUAAUCCGACCACUUAUCACGGCUGCAAAAUGCAAAUUUUCCAGCCGGCACGCAGUAUUACGGGCCGGGAUACGUCAGGGAUAUUGUCAAAGUUCGCUACCAAGGGAUACACAGGUUAAUCUCAGGUCUAAACUUAGGUGGGCCUACUCUAUUCGCAAUUA